rnacentral:misc_RNA from 1 species
CCAAAAAGUGAGAAAUCGCUUUCAACCCGCUAGGUGGCCCCCCCAAGGGGUCACCGAACCGGCCAACCCUUUGUGAACCAAAAAACCUUUCGCUUCGGCAGCUGGGCCUUUGACCGCCUGUCAGCCUGCCGCUAGCACCAACCUUCAAAACCUGUUGUCAAACAUUGUCUGAUAACCAAAAUUUUCGAAUGAAAAUCA